CAUGAAGCCGCUGAAAAAGUCAAGGAAGCGACAACAAGCCAAGCGGGACAGCUUAUAAAAGAGAUCUCGUUUUCCCAUGAUUCAUCUGUGUCGACAGAGGACUGCGAUUUCUGCAGCUUAUUUCUCCACUCGAAAAUGAAAGAUACCUUUGGGUAAAAAAAACAAACAAACAACAAAGGUAGCUCCUCGGAUGUCUGGUAUCUGUAGUCCUCAAACGCUUCUUCCCCCCUCCCAACCCUGCUGAUAUUUCCUUUUGUAUUCAAAUCCGAGCCGAGCUCGAGCCCCGUCCGAGUAAGGAAACGGGUGCCUGGUCGUUGUAGUUCUUCUGGCCGGGACCGGCCGCUGCAAUCCGGCGGCGGUGCCCUGCCGAGGAACUCCAUUUCCCAGGAGGCAAAGCGGCCAGCCGGUGCGUCGCCCUGCGUCAGAUCUGUAGUAGCCCAGACAGAGACGGGGGGGAGAGAGAGAGAGAGCGAGCGAGCAGUGCGGCGCUCGGCGAAACGGUUUAAAUGCUGUCUCUCUCCGUGGAGGAUUUUUAAAGA